rnacentral:rRNA from 1 species
CUAUAACGGUCCUAAGGUAGCGAAAUUCCUUGUCGGGUAAGUUCCGACCCGCACGAAAGGCGUAACGAUUUGGGCACUGUCUCAACAACAGACUCGGUGAAAUUGUAAUUCCGGUGAAGAUGCCGGAUACCUGCGACAGGACGGAAAGACCCCAUGGAGCUUUACUGUAGCUUGACAUUGGGUCUUGGUACUACAUGUACAGGAU